CGUAUUCCCGUCUACUAAUUAGAAAAAAAAUAUAUCUCCUGCUAGCGCUAGGUCUCCCACGUCCCUCAAAAAGACGACCACCGCGGCUCGCGUGUCGCCUCGUCAUCAUCCAGCGAACUAUCAAUUAGACUUAUUGCCCCGCGCGUCACAUUGUACUUGGACUCUUUAAACAGAAAUCCGCCCUGAAAUUCAAUUACAGAGAUCGAUAAUGGCUGAGCAACCCACGACGAUAGAGCACAAGGCAUACGCCCGUGUUGGUCUUUUGGGCAACCCAAGCGACGUUUAUUAUGGCCGUACCAUCUCUUUCAGCCUCGGCAACUUUUGUGCCACCGUUCAAUUGCAGCCCUCCGAUGAUCUCGUCAUCAAGCCCCAUCCUAAACACGAUCUUGUCCAAUUCUCUUCCCUCGAUCACUUGGUGAAUCGGUUGCAAAGUGAAGGCUACUAUGGAGGAGUGCGAUUGCUGAUGGCGAUUUGUAGGGUUUUCUAUAAGCAUUGUAAAGAGAACCAGAUUGAUCUUCAUAGCGGGAAUUUCACUCUUUCUUAUGAUACUAACAUUCCUCGCCAGACAGGGCUUUCAGGUUCUAGUGCUAUUGUAACUGCGGCCUUGAACUGCCUUCUCGAUUUCUACAAAGUCCGGCAUUUGAUCAAAGUUGAAGUCAGACCUAAACUUGUUCUCAAUGCUGAGGAAGAACUUGGAAUUGUUGCUGGCCUUCAAGAUCGAGUGGCACAGGUCUAUGGAGGCCUUGUUUAUAUGGAUUUUUCUAAGGAAAAUAUGGAUAAGUUGGGGCAUGGCAUCUACACACCCAUGGAUAUUAGUCUACUUCCACCUCUCCAUCUCAUCUAUGCUGAGAAUCCAAGUGAUUCUGGGAAGGUACAUAGUACAGUUCGGCAAAGGUGGCUAAAUGGUGACAAAUUUAUUAUAUCAUCCAUGGCAGAAGUUGCAGAUAUAGCGUUAGAAGGACGAACUGCAAUUCUUGACAAAGAUUAUGCCAAACUUGCAGGCCUGAUGAAUCGUAAUUUUGAUCUUCGAAGGAGCAUGUUUGGGGAUGAUGUUAUUGGUGCUUUAAACAUAGAAAUGGUAGAGGUGGCCCGAAGGGUAGGAGCUGCUUCAAAAUUUACAGGUAGUGGCGGAGCUGUUGUCGUGUACUGCCCUGAGGGGCCUUCUCAAGUAAAGCUUCUAGAGGACGCUUGUCAGAAAGCUGGUUUUGUCAUUCAAACUGUGCAAGUUAUUCCUCCACUUCUUAACGAAGAUGAUCUCAAGACCCUGUUAUAACGGGAAUUUUCAGACAAGGGGUCUCAGUAAUUUGAGUCUCUUUCCCUUGUAAUUCACCGAAUAACCCACUAUCUCCAGUCGGUAAUGACCUCCCAUAGGCAUUAUCUAAGUUACGUGGAACCUCCAUCGUUGCUCCAUAUUUCAUUUAUUUGCGUCUUCUAAUAAAGUUCCUUGCCUUCAGAAUGUGCCUCGCGAGAUUUUUUUUUCCCUGAGAAUUUUAUAUGGGAAAAUGCCAUUUGAAAGUAUUAUAUUAUUCUCAUAAGCAAACACUAUAUUAUGCUGAAAUUAGGGGUGAGCAUUAUUAGGUUCAAACUGAAUAAAUCGAA
rnacentral:misc_RNA from 1 species